GUUAGGGUUAGGUGUAGGGUUAGAUUUUAGGGUUGAUUAAGGGUUAAGGUUAGGGUUGGGUGUAGGGUUAGAUUUUAUGGUUGAUUAAGGGUUAAGGUUAGGGUUAGGUGUAGGGUUAGAUUUUAUGGUUGAUUAAGGGUUAAGGUUAGGGUUAGGUGUAGGGUUAGAUUUUAGGGUUGAUUAAAGGUUAAGGUUAGGGUUAGGUGUAGGGUUAGAUUUUAGGGUUGAUUAAGGGUUAAGGUUAGGGUUAGGUGUAGGGUUAGAU